rnacentral:tRNA from 2 species
UCGUCAUCGUGGACCGGGCGGAUGCCGUCGCUCUCGCCAGGCGAGACGUCGAGAGCGAGGCGGCGCCGUUCGAUGCGGUGCUGACCGAC